CCGAGUUUACAACUCCCAAACCCCUGUGAACAUACCACUUAUGUUGCCUCGGCGGAUCAGCCCGCGCCCCGUAAAACGGGACGGCCCGCCAGAGGAACCCUAAACUCUGUUUCUAUAGUGGAACUUCUGAGUAAAAACCAUAAUAAAUCA
rnacentral:misc_RNA from 1 species